GUGCGUCGCUCCGCCACAGGACUGCUCCUUUUGGUGGUUGAGGGAUUUCUGUUUCUCCAGCGGCAGGGGGCAGCAUAGCACAUGUGCCAGUGUGACCUCGGCCUACGAAGAAGAAGAGGGGAUCGCCGCCAGUGGUGGAGACAUGACAGGAGUCAUGCUAAUGCGGUAGUAGUUCGCGAGUUGUCCGAAAAGUGUCUCGAAGCCUCGAGGGGUGGUUCUUUUAGCGCACGGAACCUCGCCAGCUGGCCCGUGUAGAGGGUUGGCGGAGCGGCGACACGCGGCGGAUCGCGGACCUGCGGCCACCUGUCACACAACUCGUUUUACCAGCGUUAGCCGGCUAGCUGGGGGAGCUUUUGACAAGCGACGCCAGGGCUCGGUGCGUACAGUCAUGUCUUCGGCCGGAGACUUCGGCAACCCGCUGAGGAAAUUCAAGUUGGUCUUCCUCGGGGAGCAGAGUGUGGGAAAGACGUCGCUGAUCACCAGGUUCAUGUACGACAGCUUUGACAACACUUACCAAGCCACAAUAGGAAUAGAUUUCCUGUCGAAGACGAUGUACCUUGAAGACAGAACAAUCAGGUUGCAGUUGUGGGACACGGCAGGACAAGAGCGAUUUCGUAGCCUCAUCCCGAGUUACAUCAGAGACUCUGCUGCUGCGGUCGUAGUGUAUGACAUCACAAAUGUCAAUUCCUUCCAGCAAACCACAAAAUGGAUCGAUGACGUGAGAACGGAGAGAGGAAGUGACGUCAUUAUCAUGUUGGUGGGAAACAAGACGGACCUUGCAGACAAAAGGCAAGUAUCUAUUGAAGAGGGUGAGCGGAAAGCCAAAGAACUAAAUGUAAUGUUUAUUGAGACUAGUGCGAAAGCGGGCUACAACGUGAAGCAGACAGAUAACCACAGAGGAGGGAGAGCAGAGAGCGAAAGAGAUGAAUGUUCUUUUUAUUGAAACAAGUGCAAAGACAGGCUACAAUGUCAAACAGCUUUUCCGCCGUGUGGCAGCUGCCCUCCCUGGCAUGGAUACCACACAGGACAAGAGUAGAGAGGACAUGAUCGACAUUAAGCUGGAGAAACCCCCAGAGAUGCCCAUGAGUGAAGGAGGCUGUCCCUGCUAAUGUCUGCCAGUGUCCUGGCUAAACAAUUCUCUCACUGGCGCUUUCUCAAAACCGAGUGGGUUUCCUCUGUAUCUAUACCCUUCACUACGCCCGCCUCUGUGCCCCAGCCCGAAAGAGAACACUACACAUCCAUUAUCCUCGCCAUCUUGAAAAACUUUGCGCGCUCACCCAGAUGCUCUGAAAAUCAUAAAUCACUUAAAUUGAAUAUAUGCACUGUAACACACACACACACACAUUAUAACAGUAUUCACAGCUGGAGCUCAGCCUCCGUUUACUGCCUGAGCUCCUGUUGUUUGUCAUUUCAGAUGAAAUGACCAUUUUGAACCAAACUGAAAGAAAGAUAGUGUGUGUUGUUUAAGAUAUCAAAUCAAGCUAUGUGUUUAAAAAAUGAGAAUAUUCUUUAAAAAGUUAAAUGUUGCUUUAAGCUUGAUGAGCACAAUGUGGCUCUUGUGUGCAUUUGUCAGUUAACAAAAUUUGUGUCGUUGCAGUCGAUUGGCAAUGAUAAAUUCAUGAAUUGUGUUAUCAACAACAUAUCUUUUUUUAUUUCUUUUGUUGAAUAAUAUGGGGGAAAAUGUUGUGUCAAAGUAAAUCAAUAACAUAUUUGAGAGAUCCCAGUGUAGACAAGUUUACUGUACACACACACACGCACACACACACACGCACACGCACACACACACACACACACACACACACACACACACACACACACACACACUCACACUCACACUCACACUCACACACACACACACACACACACAGGGAGAGAGCAGCUGAAGUUGGGGUGGCAGCCGUGAGUUAAUUGUUAAGUGAGAUUGCCCUCUGAGGGGCCUGUACAAGCUGAUUCGCCCUUUCAACGUGCACCAGCGAGACAUGACACAGUCAACACACUGAAACCACAAAGUCGCACAACCACAGACCAGCAAAGACACACGACACCUUAAGAACAACACUAUCACCGCACCAUCCACAUUACCGUCCUUCCUCUCUUCACACACUUGGCUUCCAUUUUCUAUUACCUCUUUAUUUGGAUAGAUUUUUUUUUUGAAGACUAAAGCGAUGAUAGAUUAAAACAGUUUGUUUGAUGGUAGUGUUUUUUUAACAGGAUGUUUUCUUUCCUGUAUUAAAAAUUAUAAUAAUAAAACCCACCAUAAACAUUAGAUAUGGAGAUAUUUGCCUUUUGGAAAAUAAUUAUAGAGGCUUUUCCUUGGCUUUGGGUUUGUUUAGUUAAGCUUGGUAUGAUAUUUUACGAACAAUUGAAAGUUUUUGAUUUGUUUUGCUUCUUUUUUAUUUUUUUGUUGGCAUUGAUCUUUGGUUAGUGAUUAUUACACCUGUAUUUAAUCCACAAUGACUUGUAAUAUUUAUUUCCGUUGUACUGAUGUUUCUUUUUUUAUGGCUGUUAAUAUCUUUACUUUAGGUAUGGCUCCUGAAUCACUAAUAAAACGUGCAUCCAUCUGGACCACCUUUAACAGAGUCGAGAGCGUCUGCUGUUCCCUCCACCACUCCUACAUUGCAAUUUGAUCAUUCAGAUAAUUCUGUGCAAUUUUUGUGUAAACUUAUGGAGGUGUGUCUGAUUUGUAUAGUAUAUUGUAGUAGUCCUAAUGUUUCUGUCUGAUAUGGUUUUAAAUGAAAGAAUAAAAAAUAUACUUGUC